CUACGGGUGGCACCAGUGAGGAAUAUUGCACAAUGGGGGGAACCCUGAUGCAGCAACGCCGCGUGGAGGAUGACGCAUUUCGGUGUGUAAACUCCUUUUAUAUGUCAAGAAAAUGACGGUAGCAUAUGAAUAAGCACCGGCUAACUCCGUGCCAGCAGCCGCGGUAAUACGGAGGGUGCAAGCGUUACUCGGAAUCCCUGGGCGUAAAGGACGCGUAGGCGGUUUGGAAAGUCAGGUGUGAAAUCCUACAGCUUCACUGUAGAACUGCACUUGAAACUUCUAAUCUAGAGUAUGGGAGGGGGGGAUGGAAUUAGUGGUGUAGGGGUAAAAUCCGUAGAUAUCACUAGGAAUACCUAAAGCGAAGGCGAUCUCCUGGAACAUUACUGACGCUAAGGCGUGAAAGCGUGGGGAGCAAACAGGAUUAGAUACCCCUGUAGUC
rnacentral:rRNA from 1 species